ACAAUAUUAGUAUUUAGUUAUUCUUUUUGUGAACCAAAAAAAUAUAAAAAAAGUAAUUUUUUUCUUUAGUUUUUUAAAAAAAGAAAUUUUAAUGCACAGUACUGAAAAGGAACAAUUAAUUAUAGAAAAAGUAUUAUUAAGUACCUUUUGCAUCAUGGUUUAUAGAAAAUUUAACAUAUAGUCAAUUCCCGAAUUAGAAAGAUCUAAGUACAUGUGAUAGUUUAUGUUUCAUAAUGAUUAUUAACUUGUAUUUAGAGGCUAUAAGUCAAUCGGUUUCUAAGAUAUCUGGUUCUUUUGGAAAUAAAUUUAAUUUAGAAAAUUAAUUAGUAAAAGGUUUUACCUAACUAUUAUUUAAUUUAAUUUUUAGAGAGAAAGUUUCUAAAAUAAUUACAUCAAUAGAAAAUAAUUAUUAUCAAAAAAAUAAUGAUUAAUUUGAAUUUGUUUUACUGAUUAAGUUUAAACAAAAGAAAUAGAAAAAAUAAAGUUCUCUAUAGUACAAUUAUAAAAUGAGUAGUUGAGACAAAAUUAUGAGUUAGGAACUCGGCAAAAACUUUCUCUGUCUGUUUAACAAAAACAUAGCCUCUUUUUUAUAAUAUGAGGUAAGACCUGCUCACUGAAAUUUUUAAAGAGCCGCAGUACGCUAACUGUGCAAAGGUAGCAUAAUAAAUAGUACUUUAAUUGGGUACUGGAAUGAAUGGUUAAACAAGAGAAAUUCUUUCUUACUUGUAAAUAAUGAAUUUAAACUUUGAGUGAAAAUGCUCAAAUAUAAGUGAUAGACAAGAAGACCCUAUAGAUCUUAAUUUCUAAAACUUCUUUUAAGUAAGAAGAAAUUUUGUUGGGGUAACAGGAAAAUAAGAAAAAUUUUUUCUUAAUCAAAUCUUAUUUAGAGAUUGUUGACCUUGAAAUUUAAAUCACAAGAUAAGUUACCUUAGGGAUAACAGCAUAAUGAAAAAUUAGGAGAGCUAAUCUUAAUUUGUGUUUAUGACCUCGAUGUUGAAUUAAGGUUACUUUGGGAGGUAGAAUGUUCAUGGAGUUAGUCUGUUCGACUAUUAAUACCUUACAUGAUUUGAGUUCAGACCGACGCAAGUCAGGUCAGUUUCUAUCUUCACUUUUUAAAAGGUGUACCAGUACGAAAGGACAGUAAAACCAG
rnacentral:rRNA from 1 species